ACUCCUCACUGUGUAUCAUACUGUUGAUGGUUGAGAGACUUCUGUCCUGAUGUUUGGCCUGUGGUCCCCCCAUUAUCCACUCUUCAGCAACCGGUCUUUGGAGACCACCAUUAUCUAAUCUAUACAGAUCUAGUUGUCACUUCUCCCCAAACUCCACUUUCAGGAUACUAGAGGUUCCAGUUUGGAUCCAGCCUCACUUGUGAUGACUUUAGAUGGCGACAAUACUCACGAAGUGUUCAGAUGAUGGCAACUAUAGAUGGACAGACUGAACUGCCAAAUAUUAUAUUGUAAUUAUUGAGUAUGUUUACAUGAACCCUCAUAUUGCUAUUUUAAUGUGAUUUUGGCAAUAUUGGCAAUAUUGAAAAACCUUCUGACUGUAGUUAUGUUUGCAUUUAAUGUAAGUGGACAGUGGUAACAUGCCUUAUGAUUGUGGGUUCAGUAAUUGUCAACAACACUUCUUGGUGAGGAAUCAGAAUAAUUAAAAUUGCAUGGUAUCUGGAGUGAAGAGGAUUGCUCAUGUCAUGUAAACAUCUUACUGUGAUUAAGUCCUUAUUUGUUUUAUCAGAAAUAACUGCAUUAUUGGUGCACAUGUCAGUCCUGGAGAGCCACAGUCCUGCAGAGUUUCGCUCGGAAUCAAACACACCUGAACAAGCUAAUCAAGGCCUAAGGGUUACUAGAAGGCUACAAUCUACUUAAAUCAGGGUUGGAGCAAAACUCUGCAGGACUGUGGCUCUCCAGAAACACCAUGGACCACCCCUGACUUAAAGGGUAAGUUCACUGAUUUUCAACCUGCUU